rnacentral:SRP_RNA from 1 species
UGUCGGUCCCCUCGCAACGAUCCGCCGUUAACCCGGUCAGGCCCGGAAGGGAGCAGCCGCAGCGGCUUUGUCGUGUGCCGGGGUGUGGCUGGCAGGG